UAGGGAAUCUUCGGCAAUGGACGAAAGUCUGACCGAGCAACGCCGCGUGAGUGAAGAAGGUUUUCGGAUCGUAAAACUCUGUUGUUAGAGAAGAACAAGGACGUUAGUAACUGAACGUCCCCUGACGGAAUCUAACCAGAAAGCCACGGCUAACUACGUGCCAGCAGCCGCGGUAAUACGUAGGUGGCAAGCGUUGUCCGGAUUUAUUGGGCGUAAAGCGAGCGCAGGCGGUUUCUUAAGUCUGAUGUGAAAGCCCCCGGCUCAACCGGGGAGGGUCAUUGGAAACUGGGAGCCUUGAGUGCAGAAGAGGAGAGUGGGAUUCCAUGUGUAGCGGUGAAAUGCGUAGAUAUAUGGAGGAACACCAGUGGCGAAGGCGGCUCUCUGGUCUGUAACUGACGCUGAAGCUCGAAAGCGUGGGGAGCAAGCAGG
rnacentral:rRNA from 1 species